rnacentral:rRNA from 1 species
GAACGAAGGCUUCGGCCUUAGUGGCGCCCGGGUGCGUAACGCGUGGGAAUCUGCCCUUGGGUUCGGAAUAACAGUUAGAAAUGACUGCUAAUACCGGAUGAUGACGUAAGUCCAAAGAUUUAUCGCCCAGGGAUGAGCCCGCGUAGGAUUAACUAGUUGGUGGGGUAAAGGCCUACCAAGGUGACGAUCCUUAGCUGGUCUGAGAGGAUGAUCAGCCACACUGGGACUGAGACACGGCCCAGACUCCUACGGGAGGCAGCAGUGGGGAAUAUUGGACAAUGGGCGAAAGCCUGAUCCAGCAAUGCCGCGUGAGUGAUGAAGGCCUUACGGUUGUAAAGCUCUUUUACCCGGGAUGAUAAUGACAGUACCGGGAGAAUAAGCUCCGGCUAACUCCGUG